GCUGUUGCUGCUGCUGUUGCUGCUGCUGCUGCUGCUGCAGCAGCAGCAGCAGCAGAUGAGACAGAAAACAGCUGCUUCGCUUCGGAGAAGCUGAGCAGCAAACC
rnacentral:snoRNA from 1 species